GAUACAGAAGCAAGACGGUCGGAGACUGGUUUGUGUAGAGUUUGCAUUUAAAAAAGGUCAAACCUCUCCAUUAUACACUGUUCAUGUAGCGCAUCAUUGAUCUAUUGGCGAUUGUGUAACCAUCCCACGUGACUAUGAUCAAUGUUUCUAUUACGAAAUAAGUCCAACAGUGCUCCUUUGUCACAUGAGGAAGCUGGGAAACACUCACAAAACACGACAAUUCUGUUCACUUCUAAUGAGAGCGCACCUCCUUCCUGUCCUUACUUUUUCUAAUCAACAUCUCAGCUUUAGAUGUGAUAGUUGCUAUUUUUACAUACAAAACAACCUCGCAGUUCUGCACCCAGUGUUAUGUAACAGCCCGUGCUCACACGCAGAGUGCGUUUGGGCACCAGCCCAUCAUGCGAGCCACAUCAACAACAUGCUAACCACCUUGCUGGCAGCAGAACGAGCCCUGAAGGAGAGAGGAGUGGUCGCACCACCGGAGGAGGAGGGGGGAGUGGGGGGGGACACAGAGAGGCACACAUAGGCUCUGUGAAGUCACUCCCAGAGAGGACUGCUACGGAGGAAACAGCCCUGGAGGCAGACUAACUUCAGUAAAGCACAGCAGAUAACUGACUCUCUGUGUCAGCACCCAAAACUGACACGGAGGAAGGAGGAAGAAGAAGAAGACGAAGAAGAAGAGGACAACAAACUUGAAGACCAAAGGAGAGAAAGAUUAAGAGCAGCAUGAAGGAGAACAGAAGGGAGUGGGAUUUGUUUUUGUUUUUUGUUUUUUUUUACGUCAUCUCACUUUUCCUCCACUCUUCAUUCCUCCACCCAUCAGUACCUGAGGAAUAAUCCCUCCUAACCGUAAUCUCAAACUGACUGCUAAUCUGCGUCUGCCGGUCUGAGGACUCCUCCUCUGGAUGACGUAGCGCACGUUAGAGCAACAAACAAAGACACCCGGUGAUGAACGUGUCAUUUCUUCCCUGAGGGAGCUACCUGCCGUCACCUCCUCAUCAACCGGUCUUGUUUUUUUGUUCGCCAGUCAAUCCGGGCUUGGCUGAGCUUGAGAAAACUACCAAGACUGUCACAGGAUGGAUCCCAAAGAGGAGGCGCUGGAACUCUUGAACAGGGUGUGGUACAAGCUGCAGAAUCUGCCCAACGCCACCCCUAUAGACCUGGGAGCUUUCUUUGUCAUCCUAACCUUCAUCUUGGUGGUCGUGCUCAUGUCGGUGCUGACCUGCGUGACGUGCUGCUGUCACAAGACGAGGAUGAAGAAGUCGGACAUUUGAGCGAAUGCGUUAGACUUAACGGGAUGUGGUGCAAAGACGUCCUCCAGACUCAUGGUCGUGUAUAAAAAGACGGACACUCGAGGUAUUUUAGUGAGCCAUGAAGCCACAUACAGGGUGUGUUCAACGGUACUAGAUGAGUCCAACCCUUAGACAACAAAGCGGCCGACAAACGCAGAGAGGGAUGUCCUGACAGGCGGCCAAAACACACCUGCCUACAGCUGCCAGGUUUUCAGGAGCGUCUGCAUUCCUAGGAGCAUCCCCACACUGCAACAACAGCACCCCUGGCCCCAGGACAAGGCAGGGCCAACACAAAGUACCUUUAUCGAACACAUGGAAUAUGAGUAAUAAGAAUGUGGAGGAUAAUCUUAAAAGCCGUAGCAAGUUGAUGUUCUUUUUUUAACUUAAUUGUGUCUCAUUCUUGAGGAAUGAGGAUUGUCAGCCAGGCUUAGUUGGUGAGAGAAGAUCCUCCCACAGGGGAAGCUGUUCUCAAACCUGCAAGUGUUCCCUGACACUUCACAACAAAGCCCCGAAGAGAGCUCAAGCCUGCCCUCUGCUGAGCACAAACUGAAAAGGGACUAUGAUUUUAUUUUGAAAAGCAGAGCGUGUAGUGGAAGUUUCAUGUGUAAAGCAGCAUGUUGUAUAUGUUUAUGUGUGGGGGGUGGUGACAUUAUGCGAAGUUGUGAUACUCUGAUUUAUAUCCAAUAAAAAGAAAGAAAGA